GACGAACGCUGGCGGCGUGCUUAACACAUGCAAGUCGAGCGGUAAGGCCCUUCGGGGUACACGAGCGGCGAACGGGUGAGUAACACGUGAGCAAUCUGCCCCCCACUCUGGGAUCACCCCCGGAAACGGGAGCUAAUACCGGAUACCACCACUUCAGACAUCUGAUGGUGGUGGAAAGUUCCGGCGGUGGGGGAUGAGAUCGCGGCCUAUCAGCUUGUUGGUGGGGUAACGGACCACCAAGGCUUCGACGGGUAGCCGGCCUGAGAGGGUGACCGGCCACACUGGGACUGAGACGCGGCCCAGACUCCUACGGGAGGCAGCAGUGGGGAAUAUUGGACAAUGGGCGAAAGCCUGAUCCAGCAACGCCGCGUGAGGGAUGACGGCCUUCGGGUUGUAAACCUCUUUCAGCGCAGACGAAGCGAAAGUGACGGUAUGCGCAUAAGAAGCACCGGCCAACUACGUGCCAGCAGCCGCCGUAACAC
rnacentral:rRNA from 1 species